UGGCCCCUCUGCCCCCGGCAUCCCCAGCUCCCACCCUCCUGCAGCAAACUCCACUGGAGCAAACACUCGAGGCUCUUUUCAGGAGCUCCCAGAUUCCUGUCCAUGUUCGGCUUUCAUUUAAAGAGAGAGCUGCCCAUCAGAUCGCUGAAAGAUUGGAAAUGAACGUCACGGCUCUGAAAGCAAAGAAAAAAGAGCCACGAUUUCCCCAUCUCUCCAGAACGGAGAGAAAUCUCCUGCUUGAACCCGUGGAUGGGGUUCGGAGCCGUGCUGAGCACCGAGGCGUGCGGGCUCGGGGCUGCUCAUGCAGGAAAGCCAAAGCUGUCGCCUGCCUCAGCAAAGCUGUCAGGACUAUUUUAUUGCAUUCCAGCCCAUCAAAUAACCAUCACAACAGGUAUUCUCCCCCUCCUCACGGCAUAAAGAUGGUGAGGGAGCACUUCCCUCUGAAAGAAUCUGCACUGGCUGCUGUUCAUUAAUUAUUUGGGUGGUAUUAACAAAGGUGACACGGACAUGUCACCCAAAUGCCCUGCAAACUGCCCUCGGUGCUGUGAUUAUUCAUCUUUCCCUCAGCCCGAGCUCAGGAACUCAGAGACUUCGUGCUACAUCAUGUUCUGGAUCUCAGUGUUUUAUAUUCUGGAUCUCAGUGUUUUCAGAGGCUGAGGCUUGUUCAAAUGAGUCACUGCUGAGCUUCCUUCUUAUCUUUAAAGUUUGUUAUUACUUGGAAUUGUUUAUCUGCAUCACAUUUGCAAAAACAUCUGAACAAAGGCCAGCCCAUGGAAACAAGAGCAUUUUUGCACCUUUUUAUGUAAAUAGUUAGGAGUUUAUACAGCUGGUUCUUUUCUUUGCAAUUCACAAUAUUUGUCUCUAAUGCCAAUUUUAAGGAUCGCGAUGGGAUUUAAGCAAUCACACGCAGCCCUGGUGUCCUGGCAGAGAUAACAGCGCAGCUCCAUGGCAGGCUGAGCAAUCCAGCAGCUGACAGCCCCCCUUUGUGCCCGGCACGGCCCCGAGCUCCGGGGAUGCUGCCCCGGCUUGGGGACCCUGCCACAGCGUGACCUGGAGCGGCUCCAGGCUCGCGUGUUCCGAGCUGAGGCGGGGAUUUCACACUCACAGCCUCGGGGUUUCUCCAAGAUGCUGGAGGCACAGCGGCUGCCCAGGAGCCUGCGCUUGUUUGAGGUGUAAAAGCUGCGCCUCCCAGUGCAGAUGGAUUUUUAUAACAGUCAUUCUAAAAACUUCACGGAUCGGGUUUUAUUCCUGCUAAACCUCACGGCGCAGCACGGAUUGAUGGUUUAUGUUUGUGCCUCGCAGAUCUUACGGGUUUUCUCUGUUUCCUGGAGCUCAGCUGUUCCCCCGAGCGGUCCCACGUCCAUCAGCCGCAUAAAGAACCAGAUCCUUUUUAAAAUGUAGCAGAAAAUGUCUUUAUCCUGCGCUGAUGUCCUCGGGCGGGUUUCGAGCACUUACUGCCGAUAGCGCUGAAACAGGUAAAGACAUUUGGGCAGCUUUGGUCAAAAAAAGAGUUUUUCCUUUAGAUCCAGGGCGCGUUGGUUGGUGUUUAAAGCGCAGCGCUAGGAGAGGGCUCCGAGUCGUGGGAAGCGCAGAUCCCGCAGCACAAGCCGGGGGCUUGGCACCCUCUCCUGGUGCGCGCCCGGAGUGCUGCGGCAGCGACGGCAAAUCCUCAGCUCCCACAGCUGAAUGAAUGCACGGGCAAAGCCCCGGAACGCUGCGGUUCUGUCCUCAUGCAGCCUUUGGGCUCCACGGGGUGUGUCUGUGUCCUGCUUUUAGAAAUGCUGCUCGUCCUGGGACCUCGGGAAAUUUCUGAAGGGAUAAAAUCCCUUGUUUUACCCCUAUAUCCCUGGCUUAGAGAAAUACCCGACUGCUGUCAUGUGCUGCAUUGCUUCUUGUACUCCUUGAGGGAUCUAGAAAAGCAAAAGGUGGAGGAAAAAAGAACGGAGAAACAGAAGAUGGUGUUAAAAUAAAUUAUUAUUUUCCAAGUAUUUAUGAUGCCAUAGAAUGGCAAGAACUGUGGAUUGGAGGAAGGUCAUCUGAGGUGAGUCCCAGAGAGCGCUGGCGGUGCCAUCUGGGCAGGGUGGAGGUGCCAGCGAGCCCCUUUGCCUUCCCUGGUCCAGAACAAUUCCUGAGCGGCUCCAGCCCUGCAGGAGCAGCCACGGCAGGGCUGGGAAGAGCUCAGGACGUGGAGAGGGAGAUUUUCUGCUUUUGCUGCUCAGUGCUGCUUCAGAGCUCUGUCCAGCACACCUGCAGGUCACCAAGCAGCUCUUCCUGCUGGGAGUGAACCUUUUUUGUACCUUUUUACCCCAUUUUACACUUCAGACCUCCAGUUCUAACUCACCCACUGGGAGUCAGGCAGAGACUCUUCACCCCUUGCUUGAACAAACCUCCCUCCUGGGAAUGUGCCCCGUGGAAGGAAGCAGGGAGGAAUUGUAGUGUUCUAAUAAAAGCAGUUAAUUUUCACCUGGGACGUGGGAGAGUUCCCUGCUUUGAAAUGCUCAGCACAGGUACCAACCCUCCUGUUCCCAUGAGGUUCAUGGACUGAGGUCAGCCACAGCCAAACCUGCCAGGAAUUCUGUGUGUGCAUGCAGACACUUGUUUUCUCAUUUAAAAAAAAAA